rnacentral:tRNA from 1 species
GCCCACGUAGCUCAGGGGUAGAGCGUGUCCUUGGUAAGGACAAGGUCAUGGGUUCAAAUCCCAUCGUGGGCUCCA